rnacentral:rRNA from 1 species
GACGAACUCUGGCGUCGUUUCUAAUACAUGCCAGUAGAACGCUCAUGAUAGGAGCUUGCUCUUCUUGGAUGAGUUGCGUACGGGUGAGUAACGCGUAGGUAACCUGCCUUGCAGCGGGGGAUAACUAUUGGAAACGAUAGCUAAUACCGCCUAACAAUGGAUCACACAUGUCAUUUAUUUGAAAGGUGCAAUUGCUCCACUACAAGAUGGAUCUGCGUUUUAUUAGCUAGUAGGUAAGGUAACGGCUCACCUAGGCGACGAUACAUAGCCGACCUGAGAGGGAGAUCGGCCACACUGGGACUGAGACACGGCCCAGACUCCGGAGGGAGGCAGCAGUAGGGAAACGGCGGCAAUAGGGGCAACCCGGACCGAGCAACGCCGAGGGAGUGAAGAAGGUUGUCGGAUCAGAAAGGUGGGUUGUAAGACAAGAAAGGGGGUGGGGGUGGAAAGGGCACAAUGUGACGGUGGCAUACCAGAAAAGGACGGCUAACUAAGGG